rnacentral:ncRNA from 1 species
CUUAUCAAGAGAGGCUGAGGGAUAGGCCCUAUGAAGCCCGGCAACCGCCCCAAAAGGGAAAAGGUGCUAAUUCCUACAAGAUUUUUUAUAAGUCUUGAAAGAUGAGG